rnacentral:rRNA from 1 species
AUUGAACGCUGGCGGCAUGCCUUACACAUGCAAGUCGAACGGCAGCACGGGAGCAAUCCUGGUGGCGAGUGGCGAACGGGUGAGUAAUAUAUCGGAACGUGCCCAGUCGUGGGGGAUAACGCAGCGAAAGCUGUGCUAAUACCGCAUACGAUCUAAGGAUGAAAGCGGGGGAUCGCAAGACCUCGCGCGAUUGGAGCGGCCGAUAUCAGAUUAGCUAGUUGGUGGGAUAAAAGCUUACCAAGCCGACGAUCUGUAGCUGGUCUGAGAGGACGACCAGCCACACUGGGACUGAGACACGGCCCAGACUCCUACGGGAGGCAGCAGUGGGGAAUUUUGGACAAUGGGCGCAAGCCUGAUCCAGCCAUGCCGCGUGCAGGAUGAAGGCCUUCGGGUUGUAAACUGCUUUUGUACGGAACGAAAAGACUCUUUCUAAUAAAGAGGGUCCAUGACGGUACCGUAAGAAUAAGCACCGGCUAACUACGUGCCAGCAGCCGCAGUAAGAC